rnacentral:lncRNA from 1 species
CCCCUCUAUAUUAAAAUUUAUUGUUACAUUUACUAGGAAUGGUAUGCUGGAUGUGUUUUAAAAGAGGGCAUACAAAAAUUGUGUGCCCAAAUAGAGCAAAAACCCACUCAGACAGUUGUUCAAGAACAACAUAAUUGGCACAAUUGCCAUGAUAUUAAAUUCACUAAGUAACUUUAUAUACAUAUAAUGUGUGAAUGUUGUGUGAGUGUUGUGUGUUAAUUUUAAUUUAUUUAUUAGGCCAUUAAUAAAUAUUCUUGGUUUGAAAAAUAUUUUAGGGGGGGAUGUCCCCACUGCUGGUGCCACCACUGGAAAUAUCAGCUAAUUAUAGCCAGCAUAGCUUCAAUAAAAUAUAUUGAAGUAAAUAUGAC